ensembl:lncRNA
CAGGUGCUACCAUGGGGAAUCUGGGCUUGAACAGACGAUCAGAGACUCCCUUGGUCUCCCAGGAACAGAAUUGAUAAGUUUCAAGAACACUUAACAGCUGGAAGAAUACCAAAGAAGAUACAGGCUGCUGUGGGACCCCCUUGCCCACUGUGUUUGCACAUCUUUCAACAUCCGUGUUUGCACUGGUACCUCCCAACCCCCUCUUCAAGAAGCAGCACCUUCUUUCUAUUCCCUGAUCAAUUCACUCACUCCAUUUCAAUUUCUAGACAGACUCAAGGUGUAUAACAUGUUGGAUGAGCUUAUUAACUGUCUCUGUUAGUACAUCUGCGGACCAGAGCUGGAGAGGAGGAGCUACCCAAGUCCUUUGGAACCUGGAAAAUUGUGAGUCUCAGAGGAGUCCACAGUUAAGAGACAAGAUAUUUUAAAGACAAUUGAAGUUUUAAACCAUUUGAAAUCUUAAAGACCGGGGACUUUUAAAGUCAUCUUAUAUUACGAUAUUAAUGUUAUAGGGAAAAACAAGAAAAGAAAGGAUAUGACUUAAAGUAAUGUGUUUUUGUGUCAAGUUGAGAAGGUCAACUUGAUAUGCUUCCCUAGGAAGAAGGAGCCUCAACUGAGAAAUAGCUUCCACUAGGUUGACCUAUGGAUAUGUCUAUCGGACAUUGUCUUGAUGGAGAAGGGCCCGGACCAUUGUGAAUAGCACCAUUCUUGGGCUAGUGGUUCUGGGUUGUAUAAGGAAGCAAUCCAAUAAUUAGCAUUCCUUAUGGUCUCUGUUUCAGUUCCUGUUUCCAUGUUCCCAACUUGAGUUACUGUCUUGGCAUCCCUUAAUGAUAGACUGAUUGAGAGGAAUAAGUCAAAUAGCUCCUCUUCUCUCCACCCUCCAGGUUUCUUUAAGUCAGAAUGUUUCAGCCCAGCAACAGAAAAACAAAAGAUAAUAAUACUCUUUACAAAGAAAUUUCACAUGUCGUUAGUUGCUCUUAACAUGCCCACAUCUGAAAUAUGAUGUUCCUCCAAAGUCAUAAGGGAGGAAGUGACUGUUCAAAGUCACAUAGCUCAUUUAGUGGCAAGCCAGUAGUUAGUCACUCUUUUAGCCAUGUACUGGAACUCAGUGACUAAUUCAGGAGUGGCAGUAAGUAGGAUACAGAAGCCAUCUGCCCCAGGUAAAAGCUUUUCUGGGAUUCUAAGUGGAGAAACUAUUUUGAAGGGAAGUCUACCUAUUCAUAGUUCUCUGAAGAUAACAACUUCCACAAAGGACUCUGAUGGAGUCUUUUACAUCUCACCUUUGCCUUCAAGUUUGAAUUCUGCCACUUUUUAAUAUUCAUCGAUAUAAUCAAUAACUAAAAACAUGAACUGCUAGAGGAAUAAUAUUAACAAUAAAAACAUCUUUGAAAAUGUAGGAGCUGUCUAAAAGUAAGCAUGGCCUUGCUAUAUUUCAUAUUAACAACAGCUUCAGGCCUCAGGUGCAGUGGACACUUGACGGCUGCCCAUGGGCCUCCUGGGUAAAUCUUAAAGGAGCUGCCUGGCAUUGCAUGCAUGUAUUUUCCAACUAGAGGCCACUAAUACAUGUAACUCUAAAAAUCAACAUAUUGGUCUCUCAGACCCACCUCCAGUGUUAACUGCCUAUCAGUUCUGAGGUUUUCAUGAAAUAAUUUAUGCAUGCCCAGGCCACACUUUAUGAUUAUCCAGAGCUUUAUACUUUAUGAAACACUGUCUACUUUGAGCCUGCUAAGAGUCCUCGCAAAAUUCUGAUAACAGCCUCGUUCUAUACUGGUCAGGCAAGUUAUGGAGUCAAGUCUUGGUCUUAUAGGAAUCAGUGUAAUGAAAAAGAUAAAACUAUACAUACAUAUACACAAGCUUGUGAGUACUCAUACACAUGUGUAUAUCAUACAUACAGACACACAAUUCACAUGCACACAUACACACAUACUUCUGUCCAUGGUAGAAAAAAGCAGCCAAUGUGUAUUUUAUAUGGGCGAGUAUCAGAAAACAUGGUAAAUAGAAUUAAAUCGAGAGACGCACUGCACACUCAAAGGCAGAACAUCUGAAAGGACUUUAACUUGUAUCCUUUGGUUUUAGAACCAAAAAGUAUUGUCUCUUACCCUUUGCAGUAUGUUUUACAGUUUUCCCAUUCAAAGCAGGCAUGGAUUGUGUAAUGUUUAACUAUAGUCAAACGGCUUUCCCCGGCUCCAAAGGCAUUCAGUAGGGGUGACAGAGACAUGUGAGUGCCUGAAUAGCUCUAGAGUUCAUGGAACCACCAGCUCCUGUAACAAUAACCUCAUGUUGUCAGGAUAAACAUCUAAGAGGAGGAAGACUGCUUUCCCCACACGUCUGGGAGCUCCUAGCUCUUCUGAGCCCCGCUGUGGUAAAGUCAUCAGCAUUGCCUGAUCCACAUCCAAGGCCUCGUCUUUGAUAAUCCAUCCACCCUGUCUCACAAUGAUAUUAACAGGUCACAGGGAUUAUGAACAUGUUACAAAGACGUGAUGUACACUGUUGUAAUUGUUCCAUGUAGGUAAAUGUUAGUCCACUUAGGCAUAGAAUUUACAAAAACUGCAGUCCCCUAACUCAUAAAUGUGACCUCUCAAUCAUAAUUGAAGUAUUCCACUGCCUAAGAGUAGAGGCAGCCUGUUUGUCAGUGGAGGUUUAAGAACCGCCUGUUCCAUUCAAUGUGGUUUAACAGUGAUGUCAACUCGCCUGCUCCCUGAUUGAUUGCCCGGCUGCUAGUGAUUGGCUGUUUGGUUUGGGAUGGAGCAGUGACCAUGUUAGCUUUGUAAGUCAAAAAAAAAAAUAAAUAAAAAAUAAAAAAAACAACAACAACAAAAUAACCCUGAUGCAUGAGAUGUUUG